AGGAAUGUCUCCAAGUGAACAGUCUGUGUCUCAGGUUCAGAGGGAAGACAGGGUAGCUGAGUCUGCAGAGCAGAACAGCUGGGCAGUUAAUCUCUCGAGAAUGCAGGGAAUGGCAGGUAUACUCUCAUCUCUAGACACUUUGCAUAGGCCU